UAGCAUGUUUCCAAGAUUUAUUGCUGGUAGUGGCCAUGGGAUCUCCAGCUACAUGCUAGAGCAGCGUGGAGAGACUUUUGCAUUUUAGUACUAGUCCCUGCGACUGCCAUGUGCCUUUUUUUUUUUA